AUUGAACGCUGGCGGCAUGCUUUACACAUGCAAGUCGAACGGUAACAGGCCGCAAGGUGCUGACGAGUGGCGAACGGGUGAGUAAUGCAACGGAACGUGCCAAGUCGUGGGGGAUAACGAAGCGAAAGCUGUGCUAAUACCGCAUACGAUCUGUGGAUGAAAGCGGGGGACGGAAAGGCCUCGCGCGAUUGGAGCGGCCGAUGUCAGAUUAGGUAGUUGGUGGGGUAAAGGCUCACCAAGCCAACGAUCUGUAGCUGGUCUGAGAGGACGACCAGCCACACUGGGACUGAGACACGGCCCAGACUCCUACGGGAGGCAGCAGUGGGGAAUUUUGGACAAUGGGCGCAAGCCUGAUCCAGCAAUGCCGCGUGCAGGAAGAAGGCCUUCGGGUUGUAAACUGCUUUUGUACGGGGCGAAAAGGCUCUCUCUAAUACAGGGGGCUCAUGACGGUACCGUAAGAAUAAGCACCGGCUAACUACGUGCCAGCCGCCGCAGUAAGAC
rnacentral:rRNA from 1 species